rnacentral:rRNA from 1 species
GCUUGUCUCAAAGAUUAAGCCAUGCAUGUCUAAGUAUAAGCUUUUAUACGGUGAAACUGCGAAUGGCUCAUUAAAACAGUUAUAGUUUAUUUGAUGGUCACUCACUACUUGGAUAACCGUGGUAAUUCUAGAGCUAAUACAUGCGUCAAGACCCGACUUUUUGGAAGGGUUGUAUUUAUUAGAUAAAGAACCAAUCCAUGCUUGCAUGGUUUUGUGGUGAUUCAUAAUAACUGAUCGAAUCGCAUGCCUUCGGGCGGCGAUGUAUCAUUCAAGUUUCUGACCUAUCAGCUUCCGACGGUAGGGUAUUGGCCUACCGUGGCAAUGACGGGUAACGGGGAAUUAGGGUUCGAUUCCGGAGAGGGAGCCUGAGAAACGGCUACCACAUCUAAGGAAGGCAGCAGG